rnacentral:rRNA from 1 species
GGGGGGGGGGGGGGGGGGGGCGGGGGGGGGGGGGGGGAGGGGGGGGGGGGGGGGGGGGCCGGGGGGCGGCGGGCGGCGGGCGGGUGGGGAGCGCGUGGGGACGUGCCCCCAAGUGAGGAGUAACUGCCGGAACGGGUAGCUAGUACCGCAUAUUAUCUUCGGAUCCAAGGAUUUAUCCGCUUUGGGAGCGGCUCGCGUCGGAUUAGGUAGGUGGUCAUGUAAUGGCUCACCAACCCGACGAUCCGUAGCUGUUCUGAGAGGAUGACCAGCCAGACUGGAACUGAGACACGGUCCAGACGCCUACGGGAGGCAGCAGUGAGGAAUCUUCCACAAGGGGCGAAAGCCUGAUGGAGCAACGCCGCGUGCAGGACGAAGGCCUUCGGGUUGGAAGCUGCUUUUAUAAGUGAGGAAUAUGACGGUAACUUAUGAAUAAGGAUCGGCGAACUACGUG